UGGGGGAUAUUGCACAAUGGGCGAAAGCCUGAUGCAGCGACGCCGCGUGGGGGAUGAAGGCUUUCGGGUUGUAAACCUCUUUCGCUAUCGAACAAGGCCCGCUUAGGGUGGGUUGAGGGUAGGUGGAGAAGAAGCGCCGGCUAACUACGUGCCAGCAGCCGCGGUAAUACGUAGGGCGCGAGCGUUUUCCGGAAUUAUUGGGCGUAAAGGGCUUGUAGGCGGCUUGUUGCGCCUGCUGUGAAAACGCGGGGCUUAACUUCGCGCGUGAAGUGGGUACGGGCAGGCUUGAGUGUGGUAGGGGUGACUGGAAUUCCAGGUGUAGCGGUGGAAUGCGCAGAUAUCUGGAGGAACACCGAUGGCGAAGGCAGGUCACUGGGCCAUUACUGACGCUGAGGAGCGAAAGCAUGGGUAGCGAACAGG
rnacentral:rRNA from 1 species